CUUACUGUAAAAGGUUCUAUGCUACAGCAAAAAGUAAUGGCUAUAUACUUUUAGAGCCUAUAAAAGGAAAGAAUUAGUCAUUUUAUUCAGCACUUUAAUUAGCUCAAUACUACCAGUUUUAAAUAAGUUGAGUUUCUUCUUUCUAGUUUUAUACAAUCUUUAAUUUCUUCUACAUCUCCAAGCCUUAUAAACUGAUAUUAAUCAUUUCAUAGUCUAACAACUUUAUCAUGGUUAUAGUAAGUGUAUUACCUCAAACAUUUCUACUUUUAAGCUAUUAUAAAGCUCAAAAACACAUAAACACAUCAAGAUUGAAGUAUCUUAUUUUUCAACAGAAUAGACUUCUGAAAAUCCGAUAGAUAUGUUUCUAUCACUUAUCAUAAUUUUAAAUCAACGAUGAAGUUGAUGCUAGUGGCUAAAGCCGACGAUGAAGUUGAUGCUAGCCUCCGCCAACCUUCUUGUACUACUAUUCUAACAUAUAUAAGAGUUAAAGGAUCGCACAACAAUCUCGCUAUGAUUUGGAAACAAGACUUGAAGGGCUUGAAUUGAUAUUCUUUGGAUCCCCUCAGAUGUUGCUUGAGGCAAGGAUUAGGGAGAAUAAUGAUACUUUAAUGAAAUGGGAGAUAAGAGUUGGAGAAGAACAUCAGAAAGACAUAGAGGGGGAAUCCGUGGUACAGAAGGGUUGUCAUGGGAUGUUGUUAUUAGGAAAAGCUAUGCUCGGAAUAUGAUCACUGGUAUGUAUAUUGAACAAGGAUGGGAGCACUUUAUUUCUGAUAAUGAUAUUGAAGUUGGUGACACUUUGAUAAUGUACCAUAAAGGUGAAGGUGUUUUUCACACUAAGUUAUUUUCUUCAAGUGGUCAAGAGAAGACCUAUCUCAAUGUACCAACUACUGUAACAAAUGUAAUUUGAAGGAGACUCCCCUUUGACUGUUUCAUAAUUGGAUGGCCUGUUAAAUCUUAUGCAGCUUGAACACCCUGAACCUUCUUUCAAGUAUAUAUUAGAUAUUUAGAGCAUCUAUCAAGGAAUCAUUGUAGGUGACUUCUUUAUAAUAACUCAUAUUUCAUAUUUAUUUUUAAGCAAUCUAACUCGAAAACUUUGGUGUUUGGUAUACUUAGGCAGGAAGUUUCAGUUUCGUUUACUUCGCUCCAUUUCUCACAUUUACAAGGUUGUACUGUUGUGUUACUCCGUCAUAGAAAUAGGCAAUGGUGUGUUGAGCUACAUAUAAAGCGGAGAAGAAAUGGGAUUUCUGAGUGCUCACUUAGCAAUAGUGUUAACUUAUUUUAUGAAGAGCAGCGUAUAGUUGCGGGAGUAGGUACUGUGGUGCUCUAUCGACAAGGCUAUCCUCUCUUGUUUGAAUUAUUACUUGGACCAGUUUAGCUGCUCUAGUAUAGUAGAUUAUUAGUCUGCAUUUGUUCUAUUGGAAUUGCAAUAUCAUGUAAAAUAAUUAUCAAGUUUUGAAUAUCGUUGUUGCAGCCAGUUUUGCAAUUCUGAUCAGGUUAUUCUACCUAAUUAAUCACUUUAAGUUUGUAGCUCUGUAUAUUUUUCACUGUUACUGAGGUUGUUUUAGUUUGGUAAUGAUUUUCUGAAUUGGUUGUGUUUGAGUUGUUUUAGUUUGAUGCAGUUGUUUUAGUUUGAAAGUCCACUCUGUUUUAUUUUUGUAUCAGUUCUAUUACUUUGAUUUGUUUAUUUUGCUUUUUUCAUGAG